CCUACGGGUGGCUGCGGUGAGGAAUAUUGGGCAAUGGGGGCAACCCUGACCCAGCCAUGCCGCGUGAGUGAAGAAGGUCUUCGGAUUGUAAAGCUCUUUCGGACGUGACGAUGAUGACGGUAGCGUCUAAACAAGCACCGGCAAACUUCGUGCCAGCAGCCGCGGUCAUACGAAGGGUGCGCGCGUUGUUCGGAUUUAUUGGGUUUAAGGGGUGCGUAGGCGGAUUUUUAAGUCAGCGGUAAAAUGUCCGGGCUCAACCCGGGCCGGCCGUUGAAACUGGGGAUCUUGAGUGGGCGAGAAGUAUGCGGAAUGCGUGGUGUAGCGGUGAAAUGCAUAGAUAUCACGCAGAACUCCGAUUGCGAAGGCAGCAUACCGGCGCCCGACUGACGCUGAGGCACGAAAGCGUGGGGAUCGAACAGGAUUAGAUACCCCUGUAGUC
rnacentral:rRNA from 1 species